GGAAAGUUUCCUAGCUACGCCACCCCACCCCCCACCCCAAUCCAGCAGUGGGAGCGCCUAAGUUCCAGUGGGAGAAUUCAUACACGACUUGGAGGGUUCACACACACAGCCGGCGCUCCCACUCACCUCCAGGGAUCCUGUGCGGCUUUCUCCUCCCCUUCGUCCCUCGCCUCAGCCACAAGCAGUGCCACCCCGAACUAUUGUCCAACAGACUGGAGAGAGAGUGGAGGCGCUGAGUACCGGCCAGCCGUCAGGCCACCCCAUCCCGCUACUCGCUGGCCUUCUGGGACUCAGGACCCGGUUGUCAAACGUCCCUCCUGUCAUUCAACACACCACCCCUGCCAAACCCGCCGUCCACUCACUCAGGCCCACCAUUUUCUCUGCAAACGCCACCGUGGCGCGCCUCUUGCACUGAAACGAGCAGGAAGGGAGCGGCUAUGUGGGGUCAGAGGAUGUGCAUCUCAAUCGGCAUUUCCUCCCGGAGACACUCUCCCCACAAGCCGCCCUGUCAAAGCCCACGGCUCCCCCAGCACAGAUGUAGGCGGGGGCAGGGGGCACGGGAGACUCAGAGGCGAACUUGAGCCAGCACAGACCUCCCCCCAAACCCCGCACCCGUCGCCGGGCCCGCGAGCCGCUGCCGCCCUGGCCGCCGGGGCCCUCACCUGCUCCGCUCUGCCCGGGCCCGAUGCCAGCCCGCCGAGCGCAGGGCAGCGGGGAGCUGGUAGCCAGACGCGAGUGACGACUGCACCCGAGGCUGCGUCCCUCUGCAGCUCGGGGUCACGUGACGGCCGCGCGUCACCGCCGCGCUCGCCCCCCCCUCGCUACCCCCUGCCGGACGGCGGGCGGUCCACAGGAUCCCCCCUCCGCGCCCACGGCCGCCCCUUCCGUCCCUCGGUGCUCUGUGCCCCGGCGCCACGCACCGCCCUGUCACUCAUCUCCGGCCUCUCCAAUCUGAGGGCCCGCAAGUGGCAUCACCGCCCUGCGGUUGGAGUGUGCCUCGCUCGGGUUACUAGGGAAGGUCUGUAG
rnacentral:lncRNA from 1 species